rnacentral:rRNA from 1 species
UACGGAGGAUGCGAGCGUUAUCCGGAUUUAUUGGGUUUAAAGGGUGCGUAGGCGGAAUAAUAAGUCAGUGGUGAAAGUUUGAAGCUUAACUUUAAAAUUGCCGUUGAAACUGUUAUUCUUGAGUGUGAACGAGGUAGGCGGAAUUCGUAGUGUAGCGGUGAAAUGCAUAGAUAUUACGAAGAACCCCGAUAGCGCAGGCAGCUUACCAGGCCACAACUGACGCUGAGGCACGAAAGUGUGGGUAUCAAACAGG